CUGAGCUAGGCCAAAAACUAAACCUGUGCAUCAAACACUUUGCCAAGUUGUGAAGGCAGAGGAAGAGUUCUUGAAGAAAUUUACAAAUGCUACUCUAGCGAACACACAAAUGAUAAGAAAGCCAAACAGCCUUGUUGAUAAUAGGGAAAAAGUCUGAGUGGUCUGGAUAGAAGGUUAAACAAGCCACAAGUCCUCUUAAACCAAAGCCUAAUUCAGAGUGAGGCCCUGACUGUCGUCAAUUUUACAAAGGCUGAGAGAUGAGGAAGGUGCGGAAGAAAAGUCUGAAGCUAAGAGAGGUUGGUUCAUGUGGUUUAAGAAAGAAGCCCUCUCCAUAAUGUAAAAGUACAAGAUGAAACAGCAAGUGCUGAUGUAGAAGCUGCAUCAUAAGGUCUAGAUAAGAUAAUUAAUGAAGGUGGGUACAGAUUUUCAAUGUAAGAUGAAACAGCUUUAUAUUGGAAGAAGAUGCCAUCUAGGACUUUUGUAACUGGGGAGAAGUCAAUGCCUGGCUUCAAAGCUUCAGAUGACAGGCUGACUCUCUUGUUAGGGGCUAAUGCACCUGAUGAAUUCAAUGCUUAUUUAUCAUUCUGAAAGCCCUAGGGCCGUUAAGAAUGAUGCUAAAUCUACUCGACUGAUGCUCCUUAAAUGGAACAACCAAACCUGGAUGGUUGUCUACAACAACUGUCUACAACAGUUGUCUACAACAGUUUACUGAAUAUUUUAAGCCCACGAUGUCACCUACUGCAGAG